GGGGAUGUAGCUCAGUUGGAAGAGCGCUACAAUGGCAUUGUAGAGGCCGUCGGUUCGAUCCCGAUCAUCUCCA
rnacentral:tRNA from 1 species